rnacentral:rRNA from 1 species
CACGUAGGGCGCAAGCGUUGUCCGGAAUUAUUGGGCGUAAAGAGCUCGUAGGCGGACUGUCACGUCUGCUGUGAAAAGCUGGGGCUUAACCCUGGCCUUGCAGUGGAUACGGGCAGACUAGAGGUAGGUAGGGGAGAAUGGAAUUCCCGGUGUAGCGGUGAAAUGCGCAGAUAAUCGGGAGGAACACCGGUGGCGAAGGCGGUUCUCUGGGACGGUACUGGACGCUGAGACGCGAAAGCGUGGGUAGCAAACAGG